rnacentral:rRNA from 1 species
UACAGAGGUCCCGAGCGUUGUUCGGAUUCACUGGGCGUAAAGGGUGCGUAGGUGGCAUGGUAAGUUUGAUGUGAAAGCUCAGGGCUUAACCCUGAAAUGGCAUUGAAUACUACUGUGCUGGAGGUUUGGAGGGGGGACUGGAAUUCUUGGUGUAGCAGUGAAAUGCGUAGAUAUCAAGAGGAACACCAGUGGCGAAGGCGAGUCCCUGGACAACGCCUGACACUGAGGCACGAAAGCUAGGGGAGCAAACAGG